CCUACGGGAGGCAGCAGUGGGGGAUAUUGCACAAUGGGGGAAACCCUGAUGCAGCGACGCCGCGUGGGCGAUGAAGUAUUUCGGUAUGUAAAGCCCUAUCAUCAGGGAAGAAGAUAUGACGGUACCUGUGUAAGAAGCACCGGCUAAAUACGUGCCAGCAGCCGCGGUAAUACGUAUGGUGCAAGCGUUAUCCGGAGUUACUGGGUGUAAUGGGAGCGCAGGCGGCAGGGCAAGCCUGAUGUGAAAGCCCGCGUCCCAACCGCGGGACUGCCUUGGGAACUGCCGGGCUGGAGUGCAGGAGAGGUAGGCGGAAUUCCUAGUGUAGCGGUGAAAUGCGCAGAUAUUAGGAGGAACACCAGGGGCGAAGGCGGCUUACUGGACGGUGACUGACGCUGAGGCUCGAAAGCGUGGGGAGCAAACAGGAUUAGAUACCCGAGUAGUC
rnacentral:rRNA from 1 species